rnacentral:rRNA from 1 species
UGAUUGAUUAAGCUUGUCUUUUGAGAGAAUUUAUUAAAACUUAGUGGCGGACGGGUGAGUAACGCGUGGGUAACCUGCCGUAUACAGGGGGAUAACACUUAGAAAUAGGUGCUAAUACCGCAUAAGCGCACGGUGUCGCAUGACACAGUGUGAAAAACUCCGGUGGUAUAUGAUGGACCCGCGUCUGAUUAGCUAGUUGGUNAGGUAAGGCCACCAAGGCGACGAUCAGUAGCCGGACUGAGAGGUUGACCGGCCACAUUGGGACUGAGAUACGGCCCAGACUCCUACGGGAGGCAGCAGUGGGGAAUAUUGGGCAAUGGACGCAAGUCUGACCCAGCAACGCCGCGUGAAGGAAGAAGGCUUUCGGGUUGUAAACUUCUUUUAAGAGGGAAGAGUAGAAGACGGUACCUCUUGAAUAAGCCACGGCUAACUACGUG